UGGGGAAUUUUGCACAAUGGACGAAAGUCUGAUGCAGCGACGCCGCGUGAGGGAUGGAGGCCUUCGGGUUGUGAACCUCUUUCGCUCAUGGUCAAGCCGCAGCUUUGGGUUGUGGUGAGGGUAGUGGGUAAAGAAGCGCCGGCUAACUACGUGCCAGCAGCCGCGGUAAUACGUAGGGCGCGAGCGUUGUCCGGAAUUAUUGGGCGUAAAGGGCUUGUAGGCGGUUGGUUGCGUCUGCCGUGAAAUCCUCUGGCUUAACUGGGGGCGUGCGGUGGGUACGGGCUGGCUUGAGUGCGGUAGGGGAGACUGGAAUUCCUGGUGUAGCGGUGGAAUGCGCAGAUAUCAGGAGGAACACCGGUGGCGAAGGCGGGUCUCUGGGCCGUUACUGACGCUGAGGAGCGAAAGCGUGGGGAGCGAACAGG
rnacentral:rRNA from 1 species